CUCUCUCGUCUCCCAUUCUUCUCCCUCAAUCCGAUCCUCUCUGCUGAAACUCCCCUUUAUCACACACGAUCAGACCACCAUCAAUCAUCUACAUGUCUCUCUCAAAACCACCAGCACCACACAACCAAGCCAAUAACCAGUUUUCCACCUCUCUCACUCGCUCAAGCCGUUCCUUGAUGCCAGAGAUCUACUACUCCACUUGGUACUCGUUAUUGAUGUGGAAAGGUUGGUAAUGGAAGUGGGUAAUGGAAAAGCUGAGAAACAUAUGGAUUUCUUCUUAACAAAAUAGUGCUGCUGUGGGAGCUAGGGAGACCGAUCAGUUUGGGUGGCUUUGAUCUCUGGUGUACCUUUUCCUUCAAUCUUACUAAAUAUUGAACUGGACACAUUUACUGUGCGUUUUGAAAAAUUGGUUCAAAGGCAAGCUGCACAAAUACAGAAGAUGCAAGAAAACAAUGCACGAUUCUUACCAAAGAUGUUGAAUUAAUUGGGCUCGGAUGUGUAGUAAUGUCCAAAAUCACAGACAUAGAUAAUUAACCAUUGGAUUCAAUUAUAAUUUUAAUUCUUGUCAUUAAUUUAUGAUGAUGUAAUUUUGUAUUGUUUUCGAAUUUUUAAAUUGUUGUUAUUGCAAUGGUGCUGUCAUAUUUAACUAUUUUGUUUAAUAAAGUUGAAAUUUUUUUGUCUA